GCUCACGCCGACUGCUUCAGUGACUCUAUCCAGCCACCUCAUUCUCUGCCAUCCCUUUCUUCUUUUGCCUUCAAUCGUUCCCAGCAUUAGGCUCUUCUCCACUCCUCGGGAAAAGGAUAUCAGAUGGAUUCAUGGCAACUAGAGGAAUCCAGUACAUCAAUACCAUCCUGUAGGCUAAAAAUCCUUAUCACUGAUAUUCAGAAACAUGGUAUGCAUGUGCAUUUCCUAAUUCAGAAGGAGGGAAAAAAACAAAUGCUACAAUAUACAUGGGACAAAUUGUCAUCAUACAUUAUAUAUUUCAGCAUAUUUAUCCUAGAAUGAGAACAAGCAGGGGUUGAGUUUCUUCUCCCCAAUAAAUUAUAAGGUGCAAUUCUGAUA